UUGUUCCAGCCACUACCAACAGCAAGAGUUCUGAAUUCCAGUUUGAACGCCAUGGCACUGUGUUUGCCUUGUUUGAUAGACAGAAGUUUUUCCCCUACCUUCCUUCUUUCAGAGAAGUGGUCGAAAACUCAUUGAAAGAGCUCUGUGAAGCAGUCAUCUGAUGUGAUUUGCUCCCCUCCUUGAGACAAGACCACAGUGGCCAGUUUACCAAACUUUUCAAGUCGUCAAUCAAAUAAAUGACUACUCUGCAAUCCGACAGUCAGCAACAGAAGCACGCAGAAGUGUUCAUUAGGAAGUUAUUACCUGGGAGGGGAGCGGAGGCCUUGUGUGAUGAGUGCGCGUUGAGCGCAGCGCUCGAGCAGGUUGACGUCUGCAACACAGUGACACCAUGCGUAACAGUAGCAUCUCGGAGUAUCUUUCUAGAAGAGCCAUAGCACGAUCAUCCCUAAGCUGACGACCUGGAGAGUCUUCUGGAAGUUGAGGGACAGCAGAGAUCAGAUCCUGGGGACAAAGAGAGUGAAGCUCC